CAAUAGCGUAUAUUAAAGUUGUUGCAGUUAAAAAGCUCGUAGUUGGAUUUCGGGGUGGCCUGGCUGGUCCGCCGCAAGGUGAGUACUGGUCAGCCGCCCUUCCUCUCGAAAGCCCCGACUGCUAUUUACUGCAGUGGUCGGGUAGUUCGGGACGUUUACUUUGAAAAAAUUAGAGUGUUCAAGGCAGGCUAUCGCCUGAAUACAUUAGCAUGGAAUAAUGGAAGAGGACCUCGGUCCUAUUUUGUUGGUUUCUAGGGCCGAAGUAAUGAUUAAGAGGGACAGUUGGGGGCAUUCGUAUUUAAUUGUCAGAGGUGAAAUUCUUGGAUUUAUGAAAGACGAACUAGUGCGAAAGCAUUUGCCAAGGAUGUUUUCAUUAA
rnacentral:rRNA from 1 species